rnacentral:rRNA from 1 species
UACGAAGGGGGGCUAGCGUUGCUCGGAAUCACUGGGCGUAAAGCGCACGUAGGCGGCUUUCUAAGUCAGGGGUGAAAUCCCGGAGCUCAACUCCGGAACUGCCUUUGAUACUGGAAAGCUUGAGUUCGGGAGAGGUGAGUGGAACUGCGAGUGUGGAGGUGAAAUUCGUAGAAUAUUCGCAAGAACACCAGUGGCGAAGGCGGCUCACUGGCCGUCGA